AGAAUAGCACCGUGCGGUAAUAGCAGCACGGUGCGGGAAAGCGCCCAGCAGCUGUUCCUGGUGUCCACACGGCCAGGACGCACCGCUCGUCCCUUUGCCGGACCACCCCUCUGUGAAACAAACACAGUGCAGGGCAGUUAGGAGAGGUAUGGACUCGAGAUAAAUUAUAAAAAGUAAUGAAAAGGGAAAAAAGGGGGAAAAAUGCGGCCCUCCUCUUCUUAAAGUCCUCGCUGUUGCGGAGAAGGUGACACCGUGCUUUCCGAAGGCUUUCUGUGUGCUGCAGGCACACAGCAGCAGGCUGAAAGCGGGCUUGGGGAGAAAGACAGCACCUUCUUGCCGGCUUCUAUUGGAGGAAGCUGUCCUGCAAACAACGCUGAUAUCCCCGAGGAGUGUUCAGGCAUCUGGGCAACAACCGGACUCACACCAUCAGGUAGCGCAAGGCUUGUUUGUCAACAGGCGCCUCAAAAAUUAUCCUUUAUAGUGCUUUUGGCUUAGGAAAAAAAUGAGUAAAUCAGAGGAACACAGUCCUGCCAAUGGAUAGCAGGGAAACGCAGGCAACCAUUCGCCACCCCACACUACCGCAGCCACGGAUUCGUAGAGGGGGGAGUGGCGGUGCCGGGACUCUGGCGGCCCCGGAGCGGAGCGGUGGAGAGCGAUGGAACCGAGGAAAAAAAAUGCCUGGAAGCCUCGGGUGACGCGGGCACAGAACGGCCCAGAUCGGGAUUCUGCACCGCUCGGGAACGGGGAACUCGCUGCCUGAAGCACACACGUGUGCUCGGUUCGGGUGAAUUUAUUCCCGGGUGAGCCUACGUCGGGUAAUUGAUAAUAUCGGAGAACUGAAGAAACAGUGGUGUCAAAGGUCAGUACCUUCAGCCCUCUCCUUAUUGAGUACACUCCUGAUGAUGGUUGAGAACCGAGCUGCCAUACUGCUACGUGAAGCAGUGAGGGAAAACAUGAACUAAAGAAAUGGAGGUGGGAAAAUCCACCUCAUGGUCAGUAACAAUUAUCUACGUGCAUUUCGUGCUUUGCCUUCUCUGUUCGCAGUAUCAGAACUGUGGUACAGCUCUGCAGUUCUGCAGCACCAGCUGCAAUGUCUGGACAGAAGCUGGGAAGGGCAAGGGAUUGGAAACGAACUUUGAAGGAAUCCCAAACUUAGCAGAAUCGCAGAACGUCCUGAGUUGGAAGGUGCCCACGAGGACCAUCCAGUCCAACUCCAGGCUUCACACAGGAUCACUUAAAAACCAGAUCGUAAUCACGCUGUACACAGAGUUCUUCAUCAUCCUCCGUCUCCUCAGAGACACUGCUCGGCUCCCACAUCCCCCUCUCCCGCACCACGGCGGAUUUUCUCCUCCCGCCCCAGACAGCGGUGCCCUCACCUGAGCCGGGUUCCCGGGGCGGUCCCGCUCCCUCCCGCAGCCUUCCCCUGGCGCUGGACUCUCCCUGCCUGCUGCCCUUGUUAAAGGGGCCGCUUCGCUUCUGCCGAGCUCCCAGAUGUAGUAGAGCCCGACGCCAACGGCCGAGGGCUCAGCCUGUCCCAAGAAACCCUCAGUGCACAAAACUCGCAGCAUUUCAGAUGAAACCCGCCUGAAGGUGAGCCAGCCCCUCGGCUGCACUGAAGCUCCGUCUCUGGCCUCCCCAAACCUCUGAGAACAGACGUGGUUGAGCCCUAAAUGAGGGAUGGGGCUCAGGGAUCCCCACAUUGGUACCCCUGCACUUCACAGCCUCCGGGAUUGUCGACAGCUUUGCUGCGGGGGAAGCACUUUCCAAGGAUUUAAAUAGGAGCUUUGCUUGCUCUGGUCUCUUAUGUAUUUGUGGUUACGAUUCUGGUUAAGUUUGUACCUGUGAGCACGAUAUGCUAAGUCCUGUUGCUUAAUGUUUUCUGGGUUGUCUGGGCAAGCCUAUUGCUUCUCCCUCUGCCUUGCCCACAUGGUGCUUAGGCGCCUGAUGGCAACCGCGAUGCAAACUGAGCCUGUGCCUGUUUUCCUGAGGAGUGAUGAAGUGAUGCUUCUCAGGAAGACACCAUGGGAUAAAUCAUUUAUAUGGGAAGGUGGCACAGGGAAGCAGCACCAGGCUUGAAAAACUCAAAUCCAGCUUUAUCCUAUUUCAGACAAUGCUCAGUCUGUUGCUGAAGGGUGAGGGUGUUCAGCAAGGGUUGUCUCAAGAUGGUUUUUAUCCAUUUAGGUUUUGCCUCAUUGUUGAAAUACUUCAUCUAAACCCUGAAUUCUGACUACUCUUCUCUGGUGGUAAGAUGCUUAUUUAAAUACUGUGAGAACUGGGUUUAACUAGUUGAAGCUAGAGUCUAUCAGAAGGACAGCUGCCCUAAGAAGCUGCUACAAGACCACCACUUGUGGCUGGAGGCAGGAAGCUUCAAGGCUUGCUUGUUCUGUAUAAUUCCUCUUAGAUUUAGCUGGUAGACGAGCAAAUGAGUGAAGAAUCGCCGUUUCUUCAGUCUGACAAUAGCUAAGUGAUGCUAACACCACAUUUUUGAAACAUGCAAAAAUCUUGGGAUCUGCUAGAGUCUGGUUUUAAUUUUGCCUUCUGUACAAAAUGCUCUUGGUGCAUGACUGAACUCAAGUCACUUGUCAGAGCAGCCAUACUGGAAAGAAGGGGGAAUACUCUGUGUCAGGACCCAGCAUGUGCUGAUAAGCUUUAAUUGCCCUGGCAGCUCCAUCCAUGCACUCUGCCCUUAGUGCCCAUUCAAGCAAGGCUGCAGGUGUUCCUGGCUUCAGAUGCCUUGCAGCUGUGCUGAUGUGGACCUGGCUUGACUUUGGACCUGCCUUACCCCUGUGGAUGUUCCUGAUGUCUUCAGUGCCAUCUCUGCUGCUGUCACUACUCCCCUCACAUUGCUGAUGUGGGGUGGCUCCUGUUCAUUGCAGGGAUGCAGUGACCCUUCUGCUUUCUGUGCAAAAUGUUCUCUAUCUACUCCUAUGUACUCUUUUGCAUUUCCAAAAACGGUGCCUGCCCCAGAAGUAGUAGCAUCCUGAUGAGCUUCCUGGGUGAUGCCAAAGACCUCUGAUUGAAUGUGGAGUCUGCUUGCAGUUAUGGGGUCUUAGAAAACACUAGGGUGGAGAGGGAAAGGAAUUAAACCGCACAGAGCUUCCUCUGAUUUCCUGGCUGGAGCAGAACUUUUGAUUUGAAGAAAUCAAGCCUCAAGCUUGAUUCUUGUUCUGCUGUUGAUGGAUGUUUUUGCUGCCACACACUAUAAGGGGUGACUAAGAUUAAAAUCCAGUUUGAUAAGAAGGUAGACUUGCUGAAAAUUCCUUUGGGCAUAAUUCAAAUGUAAGACAGAGGGAAAGGAGAAGAUUGGAAAGGUCAAGGUUCCUCCAUUUCUCCAAAUAUACGAAGGCUUCAUAGGAAGUUUGGACCAUGUUGGAAGGCUGCAGAACUCCACAGGGGCUCAAGAAUAUCUCCGUGAAGAUCAGUUUACAAGACCAGGGCCAUAGAAUACAAGCUCUUGGGGGCAAGGGCUGUGUUUAUCUCCAUACAAUGUUGAUCACAAUAGGAUCCUGUUUCUGUUUAGGGGUUCCAGAUGCAACGCUAGUCAAUGUCUAUAAUAAACAAUAUUAAUAAUAAAUAUUAACAUGCCAAGCUGCAAAUUACUGACAUAGUUUUCUAAUAUUGCUGGUUACUUUCCAGUAUUGUCCUUCAGUCACACCACAGUACAUUGUACGCAAAAGAAUUGAAAUCCAAUUAUUGGUGUGUCAAGAGUUAGAAGGCAUGAUCACUUUUUUUUUUCUUGUAAAAUCCAUCCAUUGAAACUGACAUCACAACAAGUGAGUUCAUUGGCCUAAUAAAUCUGAUGUCCAGCAUAUAUGCACUGUUCUGUUUACGAGGACAUUAUUAAUUAGAGUGGUAAUGAGGCUGCUCUUGCAUCAGGUAACUAGUAUGAAAAUGUUAAAAGUUAUCGUAAUGGAAAAAUGUGAACAGUAGACUUCAGAUGUGACAUUUAUUUUCAUUCAUGGGAAGAGAGCUGAAAGAAAGACUUUAGCUAUAAUUUCUCUGCUUCACUGAAUCUCUAAAAACAGCCUACAAUUUCAUUCUUCUGACCGCAGUAAUGCAGCUUCACAUUUGCACAGAAAAGUAACUUUUUAAAUUUAGAUUUUAAUUUCAUGUCUGAUUUCAGGCGCAGUAGAAACUUUAUCUUGGAAUAGCAUUUCUUCUAUAGCCAGCUCCUUUUGUGCUACAGAAAGAAAUAAUAAUGAGAAAGUAUUCCAGCAGGAGGAGCUGGUUUAGAAGCAAAUGGAUUCCAUGGCAACUCCUGACUCUACAUGACACCUAAUAACUAGCAUUUAUGUUGGAAAUUGUCUGUGCUAUCUUGCACCCCAGUUCUGGUCUUCUUAUAGGGUUUUCCCCUCAUUUUAAAGAAAAAAAAAAUCCUUAUUUUUUUCUUUUCUUUCUUUCUCUCUCUGUCUCUCUCUUUUUUUUUCUUCUCUUUUAGAUCCAGGAAUUAACAUGAAGUGAAAUGAUAGCUUGUCUGCCUCAAAAGUACGCUUAAGCAAGCUGCUUUCAACUGAACAUAAUUCAGUUUUCUGAAUUAUUUCAGAGAUGAAAUAUUUACUGAAAAAUGUGUUCAUCUGUCAAGGGACAGAGUUAUGUAGAACUGGAAUGCUGAAACUAUGUAUUUUUUAAUGUCAUGAGAUGUCCAUAUUCAGCAGUUUGAAAUACUGAUAACCCGGGAAGAUCUUACCAAAUCAGAGUAGUGCCUUGGUUCAUAUAAUGCUGGGUGAACCAGGGGAAUCUUGUAAUGAUCAGCUGGGGGAUAACCAGUCCUAUGGGAUUUCUAUCUGCAGUCAGCCAUUUGGACAAUUUAUCAUCUGAUGAACAUGGAUUUAUAUCCUCCUGUGCCAUGUUUCAGUAUAAUGCAUAUGAGAGGCUCAAGAGCUGUUGGUGUUUGAGUGUGGCACAUUAGAACUCAUUAUUUUAUACCAAAACUAAAUUAACGCUCUUAAACUAUCAUGUGGUAAAAAAACCUUUGUUUAUGACAGUUUUAGUAGAACAGGUUGAAAAACAGAGCUGAGCUGGUGACUUUUUUGUUUGGUUUUCUGUGGACACCUCAUGGUCUGGCUGUUUUUUCAGUCAGAUCUUGCUGUUUACCCAAGGCCCUAAGACUGUAGAAGAGAAUAGUUUAGGCCUGGAAAAAAAUAUAUUUCCUGUGGUCAAAGGAAAGCUCUCUUCUGUAUAGGUGAAUGAAUGCAAGAAUGAAGCAAGCAAGGCCGAAGAAAACUCCUGGGUUUGUGGUUGUGAAGGUGGAGGACGAGCAAAUGAAGACGGUGAGCUAAUCUGCAAGUGAAGGGUGGCCAAAAUGGGAAAUAUGGAAGACUCUAGACUGGACUAAUCUUAAUGCCAGGUAUUACAGGUAGCAAGACAUGUUUUGAUACAUCUUGAAGAUGGCUAACUUACUUACUUUCUUACCUUUUCACUCAAGAGAAGGAUUAUUUUUUUCUACCCACCGAUAACCUUUUUUAAUUACUUGUCACUUCAAAUAUGAAGAAAUCCUGGACAAAUACACUUAAUUGAUAGGGUACAAAAUGUGAAAAUGAGACUUGGUUUGGUUCAUUUCUUCCUGUAAAUCAUGUUUAGAUGCUGGCAUAGAUUUCCUUCAAUAGACAGCCCAAACUGCCCCAACUUAAAUUAGUGGCUUGAGUUUGGGAUCAAAAAAAACCUUCUGUAAGAAGAGCUGUAAUCAAUCACAUAAAAAUGCUGAUGAAAAAGAGAGGCAAGGCUAUAAUCAGACUUUGGAACACAGAAAGGCAUAGAAACUGAGAAGUGAAAGGAAUAUACAGAAAGCUAUGGUUAGCAGUGUCAGUAAGAAAAUAAUUUUUUAACUUGUUUAGGUGUAUACAUUCAUUUUUAUCUAAAUGAGAAAGGAAGGUACACGGCAGUAAAGGAUAUAAAUAAAAUAAAAGCAAGACUAGACAGAUUGGUUACUUGAGAUGGAGACAAGGUGAAGGCUGAAAUGAAAGGGUGAACAUAAUUAUAGAAAGGAAGAAGAUUUAGGAAAACCAGAAUUUUUAAAGAGGGAACUGAUUUAUCAUUAUUGCUGUCUCUUAUUACCUUACUGUUUUCCAUAGCUUGAAGCUUUAUGGUUUGGGGAACAACAUUGCAUUGGUGAAAGGAGUUGGGUAAGGACACUUAAAUGAAAAGAUAAGUUGCAGAUAGAAGAAUGAAAUAAUGGUUAUGGACAAAGGUUUAUCUUAUUUUGUUGUAUUUUACUAAUUGCAAGAUACUGAAGGAGUAGUGGAAUCUAAUUCUCAAGGAGACCAUCUUCUCCAUUUACUUGUGAAAUUAACAUGUAGAGAUCAGAUUACAAUCAGUAAUGUCAUUGGUCUUCCAAAAGAUGAAAGUGAUGUUUCUCUUCUAAAUUUUGGCAAGUUCUUGCAUUCCUUCAAUAGGGAUGGUGACAGUAACUACAAAUGGUGUAUGCUAUGUUCAAAUAACAUUUAUGUUUUCCUAUAAUAUUUAAUAUAUUUAAUAUUUAUUUUUACAUAUACGUAUGACACUUUCCCAUGAUUGUGUUUAUUCUUCCUCCCCUGAGAACUAUUGACAUAAGUGAGUACAUUUUAAUGAUUUAAAAUGGUAGAAUUCCAACUGUAAGGGUAUGGAAGUGUUUUUAAUAUGGACUACUUAUUCUUAACAUCAAGUUGAUAAGAUGUAACAUGGGAGCUACAAGCAGAGAUGAAUACAUUAAAAAAAAGGUGACGUAAUUUAUAACAUGAAGACUACACACUUAUGUGUGGAGAUAAAUGGAAAAGCAAGAAUCUCACCUCUGAAUGCACCCAUAGUGGAUUUUGAGGUGUGAUAUGCUGAAAUUUCCUUGAGUAGUGGAUAUGGAAAAUUAAAUGUCUCAAAAAGAGAUUGGAUAACUGCAUACGAUAUGGAAAACAUAGCACAAAGUUGGAGCACAGAAGUGUGGUUUACAUCUGGAACCUUGCCUGAGACUGCAGGAGACGUGCUUAUCUGUUUAGGAUCCAUUACUUGGAAUCUUCCCCUGAAAAGAGGCUUGCUUCCUUUCAGAGCAAGAGGAAGGACUCACUCUCUUCUAAAAAUGAGCUGCAGUCCACUACCCCAUCCUCUCCCAUACAAAAUUCCCUCAUUCAGAUAUUUUUUCUCCUCCCUGGCCACAUUUUCCCAUAUUUUCCCCUAAUGUGCCCUAAUCGCUAUGCAGAUGAUAGUGGCAUGCUUCUGUUAAAGUUAUGCUGUCGUACAAAAAUAAUUUGAUGUAAUGAAAGCAGAUGAGAUUGUUUAAUAAAAACAAGGAGGACUUUUGCCUCACAGCAGCCAUGUCUGUAUGACUCAAAGCUUUGCCUCUCCUUUGAGAAGGAUCAUUAUCCUGUUUUUCUCAUUAGGGAUUUUUUUUUUUCAUCUAAUUUCAUCCAAUUAGACAUUUUUCAUGGUCAUGAAUUAUUUGUCUUUUUUUUUUUUUUUUCUGCUAAGGCAAUGGUUCCUAAGAAUUAAAUAACUGAGAGACAUUACCCACUCAUCCAAUUCAAGAAAAUAUGAUUCAUCUCAAAAUUGGAAGUGUUAUAAAAUCUGCAGCUGUUAAUCUUUGAGUCCUAGAUCUGAGUGAAGACAUAUGAUACUAAAUGCUACUAUUCACUAAAUCCUUUGAAAAUAACAGUAGAAACAAAAUUUGUUCUGCUAAUAAUGCAUAUUGGAAAUGCAUUUCAGCCUCUGAUCUUGGAAGCAAAAGGUAAUGCAUCAACAGAAAAGAAAUUUCAGCUUAGUUUUCAGUUACUAACUGUUGGAAUUUUGUUUCAAGUCCUGUUUGUUUUCUUAGCAGCACCCACAUUUCCCAAAUUUUCAUGGAUUCAAAUAAAUUAAUCCGACUGUUUCCUAGGACUUUCAGACAGAUAAACAGGCAGUGCGUGUUUAUAAAAUGAAACAAUACCAAAAACUAUUGUGCAUUCUUGUCAGUGUCUUCUUGGUGAAAUUUUAAAUUUUUUUAAAUUUCAUGUUUACAAAUAAUAGAAUAUUCUAGUAAUCCACCUGGACUGUUUAUUUCUAAAACCCACUAUUUCUUAAGGAUUUUGGUCUUUUAAGGUCCCUUGAGGACCAUAGUCUUGAGAAGAUUCAGUCUAGUUGUUGAGGUGUGUUCAAAUUUGCAAUAGAAAUUUAGGCUCCUGUUCCCAAAAGAGUGCAUUAGAGCAGCUUUCCAGCUUGGGCACUGCUCCUAUGAAGGAGGGAAGCUGAGGCAUGAAUGGACAUUCAUUCCUCUGUGGAGCGGAGCGUGGGGGCCUCUGUCAGCUUUGGAAACACAGCUGAGCACCUUGUACAAACCUGACAGGAAGUGAAUUAAAUCUCUAAAGCCUGUCUUUCUCACUCUGCCCUGAAAAUCACCCUGAGUAAAAACUGCUGCUAGAGCAAAGGUUCAGUUCUUCAACAGAUGCAGUUUCAAACUGCAUGAUUAUAUAAUUCUACAAAUCUCUAGAGAGAGCAGUGCCUUCACACUGCACUGUUUAAAACUGAUGUGUAGCUGAUGUGGACAUCUGAAUCUGAGGUACCAGAGAAGGAGCUGGGAUUUGCUCAUCUAUAUAUAAGAAUGACUGGAAUGUUUGUGCCAUUGGUUUCAUUGGAACUUCUCAGAAAAGCAGAGGUAUGUGUAUCCUUGGAUGCUCAGCAAAUCCAGAUCUUCAAUCAGAGGAAGACUUCUGUAUUUCAAUAGCACAUUUCAACAUACCGGGGAAGGAUGGAUAUUCAGGUUGCAUCCUGUUAUUGAAGCUAAUUUUUCAUGGUAACUAGUACUUUCCUUCCACUUGAGGAAAAAAAAUUCUCUAAAAGGUUGCAAGAUCCAUUUUGAUGAGCAGCAACUAUUAUUGCCUUUUAAAGUGUCUUUGAAAACUGUAGCUCUGUCCUGUUGUUGAAUGAUAUUGCCAUAGUGAGGCAAAUAUUUCAGCAGCAGAAAAUCUAGGCCCCUGCGUUCUACCUUUAAAGUCACUAGAAUAAAAAACACACUGCCUAAGUACAAAAUUACAAGAGUUUUGUUCCAUUACAUUCAAAUAAUGAAGGAACAAGCACAUGUUUGACAUAUAAUGUUUAUGUUUGCUGUUGCUAUCUUAAACAAUUCAGAUAAAAUGAUUGGAGAUUUAAGGUCUAACAGCCUGAAUUAAAGUCAGUGAAGCCAGCAUCUCAGGCCUGAACACGAAUUCAUGUGCUUAGAGAGCAUUUUUGGUCUCCAAGUAUAGCAUAGUCUUGAUGCAGAUAUUUUGAUUUCAGCAAGAAGAGGGAAAAGCUAUCAUUGCAUUAUCAUUCUGCAGCAGGGAAGUCCAGAUCAUAUCUGUGUUGAAGGUGCUUCACAAAGAUGCUUUUCUAUUUCCCCAAGAUGUAAAGAGAAAAAGAAGUCAUGUCACACAUCAACAAAAUAAUUAUUUCCUGACUUAUAUUGUGACAGUAUGAUCAUGCUUUAUUCAGCUUGUAUAACCCAGUUGUUAUUUCUUCUUCACUGAAACAGCUACAGAGUUUGAAUGUCAUUGAUGUGUGUCUCAUUGCUGUAUAAAUGGACAUAUUUAAUUCCAGGAGACCAAUAACAUCUCUUGUCUCUGAGGGGCUGGGGAAAGUGAGCUCACGUUCUAGCUCAGUCCCUUUUUCCGUUGCAACUGCUUUCAUUUGGUUGCUGUUUUUUAUUAUUAUUAUUUUCUUUAAUGAUUCAGCGCAGGCUCUUAUUCAAGAUAUAUAUUUUAAAAAAUCCAACAGAUUCAUGUGUUCAUGUAGACCAACAGGAUCUGGGUGGCUUAGAACUUAGAUUAAUUAGCUCUAGAUAUAUUUAGAACAGACAAAAGCAAAGAAUUUCUACCUGACAGGUAGAUGGUUUUACUCUGAGUUGCCUUCUCCAGAGAAGGUGCAUAAUCCUUACCCUGAUAUACAAAGAUUUUGUCAGCUUUCGCGUGUAGGGUUCUGGUAAAAACAUAUGGCAGAACUUGUACUCAACUAGAUGUGCACCACACACAUGGAUUUAUUCUGUAAGGAGUUCAUUUUGGUCAGCUUUAAGAAUUUCAUUAGCAGGGAGAAUGGAAAAAUCUUCAGAUCUCUAUUUUCCCAAAUUAGCUAAUUUCCUUUUGGAAUCAAGCUACUUAGAAUUAAAAUCUACAAUUAAAUAA